CCUACGGGAGGCAGCAGUGAGGGAUAUUGGUCAAUGGGCGGGAGCCUGAACCAGCCAAGUCGCGUGGGGGAAGACGGUCCUACGGAUUGUAAACCUCUUUUGCCGGGGAGCAACGGAGUCCUUGCGAGGGCCCAAUGAGAGUACCCGGAGAAAAAGCAUCGGCUAACUCCGUGCCAGCAGCCGCGGUAAUACGGAGGAUGCGAGCGUUAUCCGGAUUUAUUGGGGUUAAAGGGUGCGUGGGCGGGCUGUUAAGUCAGCGGUAAAAGGUCGGGGCUCAACCCCGGCCUGCCGUUGAAACUGGGGGGCUCGAGUGGGCGAGAAGGAUGCGGAAUGCGUGGUGUAGCGGUGAAAUGCAUAGAUAUCACGCAGAACUCCGAUGGCGAAGGCAGCAUACCGGCGCCCUACUGACGCUGAGGCACGAAAGCGUGGGUAUCGAACAGGAUUAGAUACCCUUGUAGUC
rnacentral:rRNA from 1 species